rnacentral:tRNA from 1 species
GUUAGUAUAGUUUAACAUAAAACAUUAGAUUGUGAUUCUAAAAAUAGAGGUUAAAGUCCCCUUACUCACC